rnacentral:tRNA from 1 species
GCUCAGUUGGUUAAACGUCCAACUCUUGAUUUUGGCUCAGGUCAUGAUUUCAUGGUUUGUGGGUUUGAGCCCCACAUUGGGCU